GCGCCGGCGGAGGCGGCGGCCGCUGCCCGCCCGUCCCAGCGCCCGGCGGCGGCUCCUCCGCGCCCUCAGCCCGGGGCGGGCAGGCGCGAGCAGUGGCGAGCCGAGAGCCCGCGGCGGACGGGGCAGGCGGUGGACAGCGGGGCUCGGCCAGGCCCGAGUAAUCGACUGCCGAGGCGGCGAGCCAGGACCCCCCCGCCUGCUUUUGCCCUGAGGGAGAUGGCGGGCGGCGCUGGGCGGCUCCGGCCCUUCCUCCCGGCCCCGCAUCCCCACCCGCGCCCCCUCCGUGCCCAGAGCCGCCUCGCCACGCGGGGCUCCUCGUUGUGGCCCCCGAGGGGUUUGUCCCGGCCGCCAGGGGGUUUUCCCCAGGGGUUCCCCCCCGGCAGGAGCCGGGGUGCCCGAGGGGCGGCUGCGAGUGGGGCUUGUGCCGUGGGAGAAGCAUCCCCCAAGAAGCAAAAACCGGGGGACAGCCGCUCUGGGGGUCCGUGGCACAUGCGGCCCUUUCUCCGGCCUGCUGAUAACGUGGCAAGAGCGAGGCGGUGGCGGUUUUAGUCUGAAAAAGCACGGAAUGGGGUUUCCCAGGUGCCUGGGAAGGAGAUGUGCAGGAGAGAAAGGAGAGCAACUGGCUUCAUUAUGUUUGUUCCAUUUAGGUGGUUUACAGAUUGUUUUGUUAUAAAAGCCUGUUUACUGCCCUCCCUGAGGACACCAGGUUUUCUUCUUCUAUUUUGUUUUUCUUUUUAUGAAAUUCCCAGCGCUUCUUUAAAAAUCCAGAAUAAAGCAUCACAAUAAA